rnacentral:rRNA from 1 species
CCUACGGGAGGCAGCAGUGAGGAAUAUUGGUCAAUGGACGCGAGCCUGAACCAGUCAAGUCGCGUGAAGGAUGACUGCCCUACGGGUUGUAAACUUCUUUUGUAAAGGAGUAAAGUGAGACACGUGUGCCUUUUUGUAUGUACUUUAUGAAUAAGGAUCGGCUAACUCCGUGCCAGCAGCCGCGGUAAUACGGAGGAUCCGAGCGUUAUCCGGAUUUAUUGGGUUUAAAGGGAGCGUAGAUGGUUGGUUAAGUCAGUUGUGAAAGUUUGCGGCUCAACCGUAAAAUUGCAAUUGAUACUGGCAGUCUUGAGUGUAGUUGAGGUAGGCGGAAUGUGUGGUGUAGCGGUGAAAUGCUUAGAGAUCACGAAGAACUCCGAUUGCGAAGGCAGCUUACUAAGCUGCCACUGACAUUGAUGCUCGAAAGUGUGGGUAUCAAACAGGAUUAGAUACCCGUGUAGUC